CCUACGGGUGGCAGCAGUGGGGAAUAUUGGGCAAUGGGCGCAAGCCUGACCCAGCAACGCCGCGUGAAGGAAGAAGGCCUUCGGGUUGUAAACCUCUUUUCUCAGGGACGAAGCAAGUGACGGUACUUGCGGUAUAAGCCACCGCUAACUACGUGCCAACAGCCGCGGUAAUACGUAGGGGGCAAGCGUUAUCCGGAUGUACUGGGUGUAAAGGGCGUGUAGGCGGGACUGCAAGGCAGAUGUGAAAACCAUGGGCUCAACCUAUGGACUGCAUUUGAAACUGGAGGUCUUGAGUACUGGAGAGGCAGGUGGAAUUCCUGGUGUAGCGGUGAAAUGCGUAGAUAUUAGGAGGAACACCGGUGGCGAAGGCGGCCUGCUGGACAGUAACUGACGCUGAGGCGCGAAAGCGUGGGGAGCAAACAGGAUUAGAUACCCUUGUAGUC
rnacentral:rRNA from 1 species